GGGGGGGGGGGAUAUUGCUGAAGGAGGCCGCGUGGACUUUAUUCCCAGAGACGAGUCUGAGCGCUGGAGGAUGAUAUUGCCGAUGAUAUUCGCCUCAGACGUUCCAGCUCAUUCUGAGGGGUUUCUUUGUGAGACAGUCGCGGGCUUAGCGAGCUUCAGAGCAGGAGGGGGAUUAGCUUAGCUUAACUUAGCUUAGCAUCAAAGCUGCGGAGAUGCACGUCUGCAUUCUUCUAGACUUUGGAGUUAGGACCCCCACCUCCCCCCAUGUCUCCAGUCUAAGAUAAUCUCAUUCUGGCACACGGGAGAGCGGUGUAAAUCAUUUCAUCCAACUAAACGAGCAUUAUUGACGAGCUAUUCCCUCUCCGCUGAUCAACUUUAGGUUCGUGCAAAUCCGCCUGCACAACUUGGACUUCCCGUCCAGUAAACAUUCACAUUCGCGAGAGAACUGCUCACACAUCCGUUGAGCACUGAGCCUCUGGCUGCUGCGGUAAUGCUGGAUUACACGAAUGACUCCCGGCCUCACUAAUCUGACAACGUAUAACGCGUUUUCCCUCUUGAGGUGUUGUGUCUCCCUCUUUAUCUGCUCAGAACAGCGUGCGCCCCGGGGGGGGAGGGAGGAUGGGUCGGCGCUCCUGUGCGACUCCGCUCUGAGUCAGACCCGGAGACCCGCCCACUUUGUGGAAAGUGGUUUUGCCUCGUCGUCUGUGGAAAAAAAAAAAAAAACAGAAUAUGAGACUCGUCAGCAGUUUGUUUGCCCGCUGUCACGCGGCCGCGCUCACUUAGCGGGUUUCUGCCUCUGCGGGUUGCUUUUGUGGUUCUUCUUACUGUCUCAUUGAAGGCAUCACUUCUGGUUGCAUCUCUGGAAAAGUGGAGCUGGAUCCUCUCCCAUGGAAGCGUUUCUAUUUCAUACCUAAAGCGAAGGAGGACGUCCGAGCAAAGCAGCCCUCCAUUUUGGUCCAACGUGACCUCAUUGUUCUCCAUGUGUUACACAUACAUCAACAAAAAGCCCGUCUGAGCCUGCGACCAAACGUGUCCGUGACCUCUUUGGGGGUCCGGGUCCGAUCGGCUGCUUCUCUGCCGUCGGAUUCUGCGCGUUGGACCGAAGGAGAAGGAGCCGCUCCUAGAAAAACAGUGACUUCAGUCCUCUGUCAGAUCGGCCCACAAGAACCAACGUAAAAGCAGCACAGCACAAAGGUUACAGAGCUAGCAUAGUUAUUUAGAAAAUGAGACGUAAUGUGGCAGUAAUUCAAACUGUUUCAUUUUUUUCCCCCCAAAAGGUUUUCAACAAACUCAUGCAGGCAAUGAUUUAGGAACCACUUCCCUCUUAGUUUAUUUUACUUUUGUUUUCACAGACUAAAGCAAAGGAAACCAAGUUUUAGAUUAAAGCAAUAUUUAGAAAAAAUAAAUCAUUUUUUGAAUUGUUAUUAUAUUUUAAAAUACUGGUCCGCGACAGUCCUGUCGCUCUGGAAAAGUCCCACGUUGGAUUUGUUAUCGAAAAAAACACCUGAUUAAGUGCAGAUUUUGAGCAUCUGGAGUUUUCUCUCUCUGGGAGAACGAACCUCCUACACAUUGCUUACGUUUACGAUCCUUUUUCAUAAUUGCAACAGCAACGUGACGCAGCAGAUGCAUGCUGGGAGCUCCGCUCGUCGGCCGUUUGGUCCCUGGAUCCUCGGCGGCUUGAUGACUCGUCGUCGCCCUUAGCGCCCCGAUAUCGUUCCGCCUGUUUCCUCCCACACAGAACAUGGGUUGUCGGCCUCGGCCCGCCGGCCCGCCCGUGUUGAUGAAGCGCAGACGUCUUCCGGAGAUAGCAGCUCCCUGAAUGUGCUCUUUGUGGAGGGCGAGGAGUCCACCGAGGAGUCUGCUGGACAGGACCGAGACCGUGAAGAGCUCUAACACGAGGACCUGUUAAAUCCAGAGUGCUGCCGGAGGCGCCUUUGCGACGCGACGACGAGCUCCAAACGCGAAGCCAGCUGCCGGUCACGGAGAAUGCCACUGCGGGCAGUGUAAAUGCCACGCCGGCUACGUCGGCGACAACUGCAACUGCUCCACCGAGACGGCGCCGUGCGUCGCGGACGACGGGCAGAUG
ensembl:lncRNA